GGGGAUAUAGCUCAGUGGCACAGCACCAGCCUGGUAAGUAUGAGGUCCUGAGUUCAACUCCCAGUACCCCCC
rnacentral:tRNA from 1 species